rnacentral:lncRNA from 1 species
GAGACCGCAUAUGGAGUGGUAAGAGACCAAAUAUAAUAAAUUAUUCUUUUUGGGUUAUCAUAAAGAAACAAUAUAGUAUUACUUCUAAAAUUCUUCUGAGGGUAAAGUGUUUAUCGCUCGAACUAGAGUAUUCUUGAAAAAAUACUAAAUUUUCAAAGGAAUCAAUGGGAGGAAAUUGGAGCUUGAAGAAAUUCAAAAAUCACAAAGUAGUUUUGCACACCUAUUGAGGAACAAGAUCUGAAAACACAAGAAGUCGUGGAAGAGCAAUCUGCUCA